rnacentral:rRNA from 1 species
GGGGUUGUGAAACAGCGGCCGUUACACCGUGGGAGGUGUGUAACGGCCGAGGGUCGGUGGCGUAACCUGUAGGGAGGGAGCCGCCUAGGGCGGGAGAGAUGACUGGGGGGAAGUCGGAACAAGGUAGCCGUAGGAGAACCUGCGGCGGGAUCACCUCCUUUCUAAGGAA